GUCUGCAGAAGAAGCACCGGCUAACUCCGUGCCAGCAGCCGCGGUAAUACGGAGGGUGCGAGCGUUAAUCGGAAUUUACUGGGCGUAAAGCGCAUGCAGGUGGUUUGUUAAGUUCAGAUGUGAAAGCCCGGGGCUCAACCUCGGAAUUUGCAUUUGAAACUGGCAAACUAGAGUACUGUAGAGGGGGUAGAAUUUCAGGUGUAGCGGUGAAAUGCGUAGAGAUCUGAAGGAAUACCGGUGGCGAAGGCGGCCCCCUGGACAGAUACUGACACUCAGAUGCGAAAGCGUGGGGAGCAAACAGGAUUAGAUACCCUGGUAG
rnacentral:rRNA from 1 species